rnacentral:misc_RNA from 1 species
GAUGAAGAACGCAGCGAAAUGCGAUAAGUAAUGCGAAUUGCAGAAUUCCAGUGAGUCAUCGAAUCUUUGAACGCACAUUGCGCCCUUUGGUAUUCCGAAGGGCAUGCCUGUUCGAGCGUCAUUAUCACCCCUCAAGCCCUCGGCUUGGUGUUGGACGGUUUGGUGGAGGCCCCCUCGGGGGUUCCUGCCCCUCCCAAAGACAAUGACGGCGGCCUCGUUGGACCCCCGGUACACUGAGUUCUUCACGGGACACGUAUCGGACACAUGGGUUUACGGGACACGGUCUGCCUCCCCUCAGGGAGAAUCUUUCUAAGGUUGACCUCGGAUCAGGUAGGGAUACCCGCUGAACUUAAGCAUAUCAUAAGCGGAGGA